CCUGCACACCCCCUACUGGGGAUGUGCCCCGCAACCAAGAUACAUGCCCUUGACUGGAAUCGAACCUGGGACCUUUCAGCCCGCAAGCCGGCGCUCUAUCCACUGAGCCAAACCGGUCAGGGCAGGGAUAUGGCUUCUUACAAGCAAUAGAUGCUCAACAGGAGGAAGAAAUGCAACACAGACUCAUCAGAUGGGGGAGACCAUUGUCCAGCAUAUUUACGCCUCCUCAAGAGCCCCAUCCCUACACAAAGUGACCACAGGAGGGCAGAUGUGAAUGGAAGACAGUGCCAUACAGAAAAUAGCCUGUUUCCAUACCUAGUCUGUGGUUGACCACCCCAGUGUCCUGGACACUCGUCCUGAUAGCUUUCUGCCCUUCAUCCAUGACACAGACAAGCCUUUGAGCCCUGGCCCUGCUAAGCCUGGAUGACAUCAGUGCCCAGAAUAGCCGGGGGCAACCAGCCCCAAACAUGGAAGGACACCCUGUAUGCAUAGAGCGUUGCCGCCCUUCCCAUGCCAGAACACAAACUCCAAAGGAAACAACCACAGUCCUCCCAGCCACGGAGCACCUCUCCUGGAAGCUGGUUUGAGGAGCCACAAAUAUGUUUCCGCCCAUUAAUGCCCCCCGGGGGAAUCCCCCCGCAGUGUUAGGGUGUGUUCCUGACCACGCACUGACCUAAUGACGCUGAGUGGAAAAUGCAAGUGCACGAAGGUACAGACCUAACUGGUUUCAAACACAGGUAGCAAGGAUACAAAAAGCUUCAAGGGAUGGUGUGAUUGGCGGAAUGACGGCCCCAAAGCUGACCAUGUCCUAAGCCCCAGAACGUAUGAAUCUGUUUUCUUACACGGCACAGGGGAGUUGAGGGUGCUAACCAGAUGACCUUGAGACGGAGAGACGACUCCAGAGGGACAAGCCAUGCAAAGCCCAGCAGCGCCCUGGCAGGCUGGCUGGCCGGCUCCGGGGCAUGAGAAGAAGCCAGGUGUACUUCCCACAUCCAUGGGUGGUGUGAAUAUCUGAACCUGAAAGCCAGGCCCAAUCCGCUCUCCUAAGGGCUCCCUGAGGGAGAGCAACUGGAAGAAAGAUGUCUCAAAUCCUGGGUGGACAGAGUUCAGUCCUAGAGCCCCCUGAGGAAAGUGGCCUGAGCUCACCUUCCAGACCUUGGAGACCCAAGUCAAUGGGGUGUAACCAGAGCUGCAUCCAACCCUCAUCCAACUCAAUUCCUGGUCAUUUCAAUGGGAACAGCCCCACAGAGGCAGGGCGGAUGGACGGGGUGGGGGGUGAGGGGCACUGAGAAGCAGAGAGAAGCUCCCCAGGAUGCUCUGUGCUUGAACCCAGAGCCUGGCUGGAGGCUUAGAGCUGCAGCCGCCCCAAAGCAGUGCCACACCCAUGGGGCCUCACCAACCAGCUGGGCACUCCAGCUGCCCAAGGAGGACAGGGUGGAAAGGAAAAGGGGACACACACACACAGCCCUAUGUGCUUUCAUAUCAGCAGUUCUCAGAGUGGGCUUCAAGGAACCCUAGGCAGCCCUAAGAUCCUUUCAGAGGGUCUGCAAGAUCCUGUUUUGAGCCAUCUUUGCAUGAAUGGCGCAGAAGCCACAGUGGGUAUGAUAAGGGGACCUUAGCACAAAUAAGGCAGCUGUACCAGAUGUGGCAGUGCCCCUCUCUGCCCACACGUUAAGAAUGUCCUUGAUGAAAUGUUAACAUUUUCAAUUGUAAUAAAUUUCCACAGUUGACUACAGUCUUUUUUUUUAAUCCUUACCCAAAGAUAUGUUUAUUGAUUUUAUUUUAUUUUUAUUUUUUGAGACAGAGGAAGGAAGAAAAAGAGAGAGAAAUACUGAUGUGAGAGAAACAUUGAUCGGUGGCCCCUGUAUGUGUAGUGACCGGAAUCAAACCCACAACCUUGAGUGCGGGACCAUGCUCCAACCAACUGAGCACCCGGCCAGGGUGAGCGCAGCCUUUGAAUACCUGUGAGGAACAGGGAAGUGUGUGCUGGCUGCCUUUGAGGACAGCCCUGGGGGACUGAGUUGCAAUGUGAACUCCCUGAUAUUUUCAGGGAACAUCUUUGUGUGAUUUGAAAAAUGAAUAAUAAAAAGGCUGUGCAUAUUCA